CUAGACCUCAUGCGCUAGCCCAAGCCCAAAUGUCUACACUGCAAUUAGCCCCUUAGUCCGAGCCCUGCGAGUCCAAGUCAGCUGGCAUAGGCCAGCCACGGGGUCUAAUUGCAGUGUAGACA